UGCAUGUUGUCUAGAAAGUAAGGCUUUUCUUAGUAAUUAUGCUAGAUGAUGUAGAUAAGUAUGUAAAAAUUCAACAAUUUUAAUGAUUCAUUACAGUUCAUACCAAUCCCCUUAUGAUUCACCUAAUCUUGCACACCUCCAGAGUUGGAACUAAUUCUCUGGAAGCUCUGCUGCAAGGAUACGACAUAUUGAUUAUCAGAGCCUGCUUGUAGACGGAUAAAUGAGGAAGGAGAUGUAUUGAGAACAGUAAGGAUUGGCGAGAAUCCAAGGUCUAGGCACCUGCAUGGAUUCCAAGCAAACUCUGAACCUCCUGAGGGUCAAUCCCUCCCACUGCAAGUGAAACCUUGACUAGCACGCCACUAUCAGUGCAGCUAGGCAGCAACCCUGCCAUCCAGUGGCACAUUCUCAGUGCUCCCUCCACACGCGUGACUGCAUGGCCAGACUCUGCUCUAAUCCCAGCUGCAGGUGAUACCACUGGGAGAAGGUACAAGCACCUGAAAGCAUGUGGCACUGGGCUCAAGGACAGGUUCUGUUAAAUAGUUCUCCAGUGUGACAAAAUGGACUCUAGACCUCACAACCUAUGAUCUCGCACUUGUUUACUGGCACUGCACGCUCUCUGUAGCUAUUACACUUUAUUCUGGAUCGUUAUUGUUUAAUCUUGUUCUGUCUCGGCGCACGGGCUAAUGAUCUGAACUGUAUGAACAGUAUGCAAGAGAAGCUCUUCACUUGGUACAGGUGACGAUAAUAAUUCCGAUUGUCUGUACUGUGUGACGCAGUGAUGUUUUGGAAGCCAAGCAUGGGUCAGGGCACAUCAUUAUCCUUGUGGGACCAGGAACCUUGACAAGGAUGGUCAGGACCCAAAUACUGGAGUGUCCGAGGCUGGGAUUGAGACUGAAACGAGAACCGAUUACCAAGCAAGAUGCUAGACUGUAGCCCAACCUGACCCUCUGUUCAGGUGUUCUUAACUACUGAAAUCCCAGCGUCAAAUGCAGUAGCUGAUUGGUGGGACAGCCCUGAAUCUUUAAAGGGUCUGUGCCAGCUCUCCGUACUCCGGAGAGUUAGAGCAUCAGAAUUCCAGAAGCUGGUGUGCUUGGGUCUGUAUCGUAACACCUUGCAAAGUGGGUUCAGGUCCAGAGAUCAGGCGACACCCUUUCCCCCAAUAAUUCAUUCCUUUAGCCAGAUAGUUAAAACAGGUAGGGAAUUACACAGUUGAAAAUAGACAGAGGGAUAUCAACCAGAAUUUAUUGGAUUUGCCUCAGACAGCUUCUCAAAUGCGUACUGGAGGCAACACCAGCCACGAAAGCCACCCCACCCCCUCCCAGGUGUGCAGCCACUUUCUGUAACAGCAGCAGACGUGAGAAGGACUCCACAGAGAUUCAAACCCCCUCCCCACAAGGCGGCCGGGCCAGACAGCACCCCAGGCUGAAUACACAAUGAGUAUACGUCCCAGCUCACUGACGUCUUCAAGGACAUCUUCGACAUUUCACUCAUCCAGGCUGCUUCAAAUCAGCCACCAUCAUCCCUGUACCAAAGAACUCUGCUCCUUCAGAACUAAACACUGAUGCCAAUCAUCAUGAAGGGCUUUGAACGGCUGAUAAUGACAUAUCAGAAACUCCAUUCAUGCUAUACUAGACACUCUGCAAUGUGCUUACCGACAGAACCACUCUCCGAUAGAUCCCAUAGCAUCUGUCAUUCACCUGGCCCUGACACACCGAGAAAACAAGGACAGUCAUCUCGGGAUGCUCUUUCCGGAUUUCAGUUCACCAGAUCUUGGUGCACAAACUCCUGCUCCUCAGCCUAAAGACACCACGGGUGUCGGACUUCCUAACCAACAGAGCUCAGACAGCAGGAUGCACAAUCGCUCCUCCCUCUCUAUCACCCCCCAGGCUGUGUGUUGAGCCCAUUGUUAUACACCCUGCUCACACAUGACUUCAUGGCCAAAUCCCUGAGCAAUCACAUCGUCAAGUUUGCCAAUGACACAACAGUGGUGGGGCUCGUCACCAACAACAAUGAAAUGGUCUACAGAGAGGAGGGGGAAGAGCUCGAGGCCUGGUGCCAGGAGAAUAAUCAAUGUCAACAAGACAAAGGAGAUGGUUAUUGAUUUUGAGAGUACGCGGACCACUCUCUUUACAUCGGCAGCGCAGCAGUGUCAAACCCCUGGGAAUACACAUCUCACACAACCUCCCAUGGACCCAGAACAGACUCAGCACACCCAGAUCUCACCAACUCCUGCACUUUCUGAGGAGGCUGCAGAGAGCUGGACUUUGCACAUCCAUACUCACAUCAUUGUACAGACGAGCACCCCGACAAGCUGCCUCACUGCCUAGUAGGGAAACUGCACUGGAGCCGGCAGAAAGACUGGACAACGGGUAGUCAAAAAUGCCCAUCUCAUCACUGGCACCAGCCUACCCACCAUCAAGGACAUGUAUCCAGAAAGGUGCUGGACAAGGCCAGUAACAUCAUGAAGGAUUCCAGCCACCCUGCUCAUGGACUGUUUGUCCCACUCCCAUCAGGGAGGAGGCUACGUCACAUCCACACCAGGACCACCAGACUCAAAAACUGUUACUUUCCCCAAGCAGUAAGGCUGAUCAACACCUCCCUCACUAACCUACCCCUCCACACCCCCAACCACCACUACUUUAUCAUUACUGUCAGUUACCUAACAUACAGACACUCCUGUGCCCAGUGUCACUUUAUGUUCAUACAGUUAACCUGUGUAUAUAAGCUAUUGUAUGUGUUUUAGAAUUAUUGUGUUCGUUAUCUUAUUAGACAAUAGACAAUAGACAAUAGGUGCAGAAGUAGACCAUUUGGCCCCUCGAGUCUGCACCGCCAUUCUGAGAUCAUGGCUGAUCAUUUCUCAAUCAAUACCCAGUCCCUGCCUUGUCCCCAUAUCCCUUGAUUCCCCUAUCCAUCAGAUAUCUAUCUAGCUCCUUCUUGAAAGCAUCCAGAGAAUUGGCCUCCACCGUCUUCCGAGGCAGUGCAUUCCACACCUCCACAACUCUCUGGGAGAAGAAGUUUUUCCUCAACUCUGUUUUAAAUAACUGACCUCUUAUUCUCAAUCCAUGCCCUCUGGUACUGGACUCUCCCAACAUCUGGAACAUAUUUCCUGCCUCAAUCCUAUCAAAUCCUUUAAUUAUCUUAAACGUUUCAAUCAGAUCCCCUCUCAAUCUCCUCAAUUCCAGUGUGUACAAGCCCAAUCUCUCCAAUCUCUCUGUGUAAGACGCCCUGCCAUCCCAGGAAUCAACCUAGUGAAUCUACGCUGCACUUCCUCAAUUGCCAGAAUGUCCUUCCUUAAACCUGGAGACCAAAACUGUACACAAUAUUCCAGAUGUGGUCUCACCAGGGCCCUGUACAAAUGCAAAAGGACAUCCUUGCUCUUGUACUCAAUUCCCCUUGUAACAAAGGCCAACAUUCCAUUUGCCCUCUUCACUGCCUGUUGCACUUGCUCAUUCACCUUCAUUGACUGAUGAACUAGGACUCCUAGGUCUCUUUGCAUUUCUCCCUUACCUAACUCUACACCGUUCAGACAAUACUCUGCCCUCUUGUUCCUGCUUCCAAAGUGGAUAACUUCACAUUUGUUCACAUUGAAUGACAUCUGCCGUAUCUGCCCACUCACCCAGCCUAUCCAAGUCUCCCUGUAUUCUCCUAACGUCCUCUUCGCAUGUCACACUGCCACCCAGUUUAGUAUCGUCAGCAAACUUGCUGAUAUAGUUUUCAAUGCCCUCAUCUAAGUCGUUGACAUAAGUCGUAAAGAGCUGUGGUCCCAAUACAGAGCCCUGUGAUACCCCACUAGUCACCUCCAGCCAGUCCGAGAAACACACAUUCACUGCUACCCUUUGCUAUUGUUCUUUUUAGUGCUGCAUUGGAUCCGGAAUAGCAGUUAUUUCAUUCUCCUUUACAAUUUUGUACUGGAAAUGACAUUUUGAAAUGCCUCUGUUUGCCCCACUGCCAACCCUGGCAGUGCUUUUCUUGCACCCACCACUUUAUCCAUGUGUAAAAAAUUUGCCCCACAUAUCUCCUUUGAACUUUCCCCUCUCACAGUUUAAAUGCAUGCCCCCUAGGAUUAGACACUUCAAUUCUGGGAAAAAGAUACUGGCUGUUUACUCUAUUUAUGUCUCUCAUAAUCUUAUAAACUUUUAUCAGGUCUCCCCUCCACCUCCGAUACUCCAGAGAAAACAGCCAAGGUGUAUUCCGGCCAGCUUCUCAAUGAACCUCUUCUGCACCCUCUCCAUAACCUCCACCUUCCUUCUUGUUCAAAGUGAAUCCAUUAUCAAAGUACACACUGUACAUGUCACCAAUACAACCCUGAGGUUCGAUUUCUUGUGAUAAAUAGAAAGAAACACGAUAGAAUCAAUGAAGAAGCUCACACGACAGAGACAGGCAAAUGUGCAAAUUCAAAAAGAAAAAUAUAUAUAUUACAAAUAAAUAAGCAAUAAAUAUCAAGAACACAGGUCCUUAACACUAGUCUAUAGGUUAUGGAAUUAGUCCAGGGUUGGUGUGAGUGGAUGUGGUGAACAGGUGACUUUGUGCUGCAUGGUGGACCUUACUAUAAAUAUUCUGCCAUUCCCAUCCUGAGGUGGCAGAAUGCUCAGUUUAGGUGUGAGAAUUGCUUUUUUUUACACCUGUAGGUGCCUAUGUGAAGCAUCUUGUUCGUCUGUUCCCUUGUGCUGAAAUACCUUUAAAGGCUGAGCAAAACAAAUUCUCCUUGAACCAGACAAACUUGAGUUAAUGCAAUAAAAAUAUCUAGUGAUGAAAUAAUGUCUAGCAGGGUUGGUCUGAUCAGGUCCCCUGCUAGAAGACAUGCAUAGACAUAGUGUACUCUUGAUUUUUCCACACAGGGAGAUUAAAGAACUGCUUGAAAUCAAAGAAAAUGUAUCACACAGUGGGACUCCAUUUUCUGGAUUCUUCACCCUUCCUUUCCAGUCUUGAUGAAAGGAUUUGGCCAAAACUAUUGACUGUUUAUUCCUCUCCAUAGAUGCUGCCUGACCUGCUGAGUUCCUCCAGCAUUUUUGUGUGUGAUGCUCUGGAUUUCCAGCAUCUGCAGAAUCUCUUGUGUUUAUGGCGCCCCAUUUCGUUUGGGCCCAUUGGAAACGAAAUACACAACUUCUUACAUGUGAACAUCUAAAUAUGGAGUAGGAAUCCCGACAAGAAUGGGCUACCAUUGAAUAUGAUCGUGAAGGGCCCAAUUGCAACUGUUACGAAUGUACCACAGCUCUAAGGGGCUGAAGGGUGUGGGGUAGCCCCCUCCUUUGUGAGAAUCGCAAGAUCACUAUUGAGUCAGUUCAGGAGACCCAGGAAAUGAGAGAAAGACAUGCAGAAUUCACGAAGAGUUGGAAUGUGUCCUGGCCUCCGAAAGAAUGUGUCCUGGCCAUUGAUACCGGCUAUUGUCUCUUGGAGAUGGGAUUGUGUAUUGAAUCCUGUACGAUGCAUCGAAGCUCCAGGCAAUGAACCGAGGGGGAGGUUGGUGGAGGGAUUGCAUCAUCUCAACCUGAUUGACAUCUGAGACCCUGUGAGUCAGGAUAAAAGAGGGUCUGUGGGACCAGCCCCUCGGACGCACCAGAAGAAACGCUAGCAAUCCCGUAAUAGUGAAAGCCGGUGGGAAGGCCACGUGCAUCCAUUUCCAUUUGCCCCGGAAUCGGUGGUCCUCUACCACGGAAGAACGGUUUUUAGCUAACAACGGGGAAAUCAAUUCCCAACGACUCUCGAAAGAUUGACAUCAUAAAAGGAACGGGCAAGUUUUAACCCGUCUUUCUCUCCAACCAAAACGCUGCAGCUUGAAUGAACUAAAGUGACUUUUAUAUUUCCAUCGGACAAUACAUUAUCUCCUAGACAACAAUAGAGCUAUUUCUUAUUGAUUAUUAUUAUUAUACCCGCACUUUUAGAUUUAGCAUUGACAACGUAUAUCAUCUGUAUGUUUGCCUUGAUAUUAUUUUUGUGUAUUUUUAUCAAUAAGUACUGUUAAAAAUAGUACCAUCAGACUUCAACGGACCUCUCUAUCUUUGCUGGAUGUGGGCAUCACUGACAAGGCCAGCAUUUAUUGCUCAUCCCGAAUUGCCCUUGACAGUGGCAGAGAGCCGCCUUCUUGACCCGCUGACGGAGGAAUGGCCACGGUGCAGCAGGACAGAGAGCUCCCGCAUUUGGACCCACCGAUGAUGCAUCAUCAGUAAUAUCAGAACGGCUCACGAUGCGGAGGGGAACCUGCUGGGUGUUGGUGUCCCUGUGCACCUGCUUCACCCGUCCUUGAAGAGAGACAGACCCCAUGAACUUUGUCGGAGCAGCUGAGGGAAGGAUCUUGAAGGUGGAAAAUGGAAUGAAGCUUUGGGACAGUGGAUGGGAUGUCAGUGACGGUAACUCAAAUAACCGCGCAUUGUGACAGCGGUGUGCAGAAGACCACCUCUGACUGAACAACACAUCGAACUUUGAAGUGGGUGGGCUACAGCAGCAGAAGACCACGAACGUACUUCACUGGCUGCUUCAUUAGUUACAGGAUGCACCAGAGUCUCUUAAAUGCCCCUGAUGAAUCUGACUGGUUGCAUCAGGGCCUGGUUUGUCAACUCCAAUGCACUGGGACGUAGGAGGCAGCAGAGACCAACCUGGUCCAUCACUGACAGGAUCUACGGGAUGUACUGCCUCAAGAAAGUGGAAUCUAUCACAAGGUUUCAAAGAUGGAUGGCAUGCAGAACAGCGCUUGUCAUGGUACCUCAGGUCACUGAGAUGCUUACGGCAGACGAUGACAGAUCCUUCAUCAGUGCAUGAAGGGAUACGAGGAGAAGGCAGGAGGUUGGGGCAUGAUGAAAUGGUGGAACAGACUUGAUGUGCCAAAUGGCCUUAUUCUACUCCUAUAUCUUAUAUGCAAC